GAUGCUCAGGGUGAACGCUGGCGGCGUGCCUAACACAUGCAAGUCGAGCGGUGCGGCUGGAAGCUUUGGUGGAAGGCUGCAUAGCGGCGGACGGGUGCGUAACACGUAGGAACGUGCCCCCUGGAGGCGGAUAGCCGUGGGAAACUGCGGGUAAACCGCCGUAGACUCGGGAGAGUAAAGGCCGAAAGGCGCCAGGGGAGCGGCCUGCGGCCCAUCAGGUAGUUGGUAGGGUAACGGCCUACCAAGCCGACGACGGGUAGCCGGUCUGAGAGGAUGGCCGGCCACAAGGGCACUGAGACACGGGCCCUACUCCUACGGGAGGCAGCAGUGGGGGAUUUUGGACAAUGGGCGAAAGCCUGAUCCAGCGACGCCGCGUGGAGGACGAAGCCCUUCGGGGUGUAAACUCCUUUUCUCAGGGAAAAAAGCUGAUGGUACCUGAGGAAUAAGCCCCGGCUAACUACGUGCCAGCAGCCGCGGUAAUACGUAGGGGGCGAGCGUUACCCGGAAUUACUGGGCGUAAAGGGUGCGUAGGCGGYCGUGUGUGUCUGGCGUUAAAAUCCACGGCUCAACUGUGGGUAUGCGCUGGAAACUGCACGGCUUGGGUGCAGCAGAGGCAGACGGAACUGCUGGUGUAGGGGUGAAAUCCGUAGAUAUCAGCAGGAACGCCGGUGGAGAAGUCGGUCUGCUGGGCUGUAACCGACGCUGAGGCACGAAAGCUAGGGGAGCAAACCGGAUUAGAUACCCGGGUAGUCCUAGCCGUAAACGAUGCUCACUUGGUGUGGGGGCGAAGGUCUCCGUGCUGAAGCUAACGCGUUAAGUGAGCCGCCUGGGGAGUAUGCCCGCAAGGGUGAAACUCAAAGAAAUUGACGGA
rnacentral:rRNA from 1 species